UGCCUGGUGUAGUGCAGCGCUAAGUGG
rnacentral:sRNA from 1 species